AUGUGCCCUUGCCUCACACGGCUCUCAGCGCCCUACAGGACACUGACCAAACUGAGCCACCGCACACUCCUGGCCGCUCCUUCCCAACACGCUGCCGGACAUUUGUCCACACUCUCCAGGACAGGUAACAUCAGCCCGACCCACACCCUGCCACGCUCCCAUAGCAAGCAGCCAGGUGACACGCUCAGGCCAGGAUGGCAGGGACAGCUCCAUCAGGAAGACAGGACACGGACAGCCUCGGUGCGACGCUAGAGACCCUCGGGCAGAGAGGCAGGGGCUGCCCGUGGUCACAGGGGGAUGCUGCUCCGUGUGUUCCUUCUCUCAUUAAAGCCAGACUCAGACAGCAAUGGGACCAGAUCACAGCAGACUCCUGCGCUCUCCCCAAGGACUACUCUGCUGGAAGGAAGAGCUGCCAAC
rnacentral:lncRNA from 1 species